CCCAGGAGCCACAAGUGGGAGCCACUUUUAUUGGGCCUAAAGCGUUCGUAGCCGGUCUAGUAAAUUUCCUGUGAAAUCGUUAGGCUUAACUUAACGACGUGCAGGGAAGACUGCUAGACUAGGGACCGGGAGGCGUCAGAGGUAUUCCUGAGGGAACGGUAAAAUGUUAUAAUCUCAGGAGGACCCCCUGUGGCGAAGGCGUCUGACGAGAACGGAUCCGACGGUGAGGAACGAAAGCUAGGGGAGCAAACCGG
rnacentral:rRNA from 1 species